CUCUCAGAGAGAUUCCCAAUGUUCAAACCACCAAUCAUUAAAAAUUUCAGAUACUAUCUAGCAUAAGAAAGGUUUCACAUACUCAUCAU